ACGGCCAUAAGUUGAAACACCGGUUCUCUUACGUUCACAAAAGUUAAGCAACAUUGUGUCUAUUCAGUAUCUAGAUGGGUGACUGCUUGGGAAUACAAGGUACUGUAA